GUAUUAGCGAGAGUUAAACGGAUUAAUCAGUCGCGUCGACACUAUUUAAGCCGCCGCUAACUUUAACGUCACUUCUCCAACGGCUGCGCACGAAGCUCAUUUCCCGUUCCACCUUAAAUGGUGCAGCGGUUAUAAUAUGUAACCGCUGCGCCAUUUAAGCAGGAAUUUGAACUUCGGCCUCGUCUCUGAGGUCAGGCCGAGUUAAUGAGAGGUAAAUCCGGAGCUGUUCUGGUGUGAAGUUGGCGGUAUUUCGGCGAGUUUGCUCAGGAGAGGCUUGUUUAUCCCGCCGGCGGAGCUCCACGCAGCCCGCCUGCCCGCCUGCCCGCGGUCUCCGCGCAGCGCUCGAGGAGUAACAGUAACUGUACUAUACCUGGACCUGUUGACUCCUCCUACCGGCGGCCGCUCGGUGAUGUAACGGGGAGCUGCUCCGCUGCACGGACCGGACCAGACCGGACCGGGACAAACGAACGUGCACGGAAAGUCAGCGAGGUGAACGCGGCGGGCUGAGACAGGCGCUGUGCUGUCGGAGGGGUUUGUUGGUGUUCAGGAGCGCAGAGAGACCCCGAGUCCACACGGAGCUCCGCCACAGGCAGCGGCGGCCAUUGGAGUCACGUGCUGCGGGUUUGGUGGUGGUGGUGUAGCGGGGGUUCCGAAGCUGUCAGGUGUCGGUGGAGUUGUCCUGUUAACUCCCCCUGUCACGCGCAUCUCGCUCUGCGGUUGCGUAACAGCUCUCACCUGCCUUUGGUGCUGCAGGACAAGCAGCAGGAGCUUCAUGCAUUAUUUAUCAACGUACUGUAAACAGGCGCGUGCCGCUCCUUUCAUCCGUGCGUGGGAGAGAAGUCCCAGCAGCUUCAGCACCCUGAUUAGAAACCCCCUCAGCACAGAGGGAGAGACCACUCACUGAAGCCUUUAUUGUUUUUCUUGCUUUUUUCUUAUUUUUAAAUACUGCAGCCAUGGGCUGUGGAGCGGGUUUCUGAUAGGAGGGCUCAGGCAUCGGUACUUUAACACCACUGCUUUCUUUUGUUCCAUUACAGUCACUGUUGCCUCCUUUAUGAAGGAAAAGCUAUAGUAAUUUCUGCAUUUACCAAAAUAUUAUUGUAUAUUGUGUAUAUAUAAAAUAAUGCAUAGUAGUUUCUGUUCAAACGUUAAAUGCUGUCAUUGAAUUAGAUUAAACUAACCUUAUGAUACUGGUAUGCUCAUCAGCUAUGUUAUCUAUCUACAACCCUGUUUACAAAAAAGUUGGGAUGUUGUGCAAAAUGUAAGAAAAACAGAAUGAAGUGAUGUGCAAAUCAUUUAAACCCUAUUUAACUGAAAACGGUACGAAAACAAUAGAUCGAAUCCUGAAACUAUGAAAGUUUAUUGUUUUUUGAAAAACAUAUGCCCAUUUUGAAUUUGAUCCGAGACCUGUUUACCGCUGUGUUUCAUCACCUCUUCAUUUAACAGCACUCUGUAAGUGUUUGGGCACUGAGGAGACACUGCUGUAGUUUUGAAAGUAAAAUUUUUACCUGUUCUUGUUUGAUACAGGAUUUCAGGUGCUCAUCAAUUCAGGGGCUCUUUUGACAUAUUUUUCGUUGUAUAAUCAGCCAAAUCAGUGGGUGACAGGUCUGGACUGCAGGCAGGUCAAUUUAGCACCCAGACUCUUUUACAGCAGAGCCACAUUGUUAUAAUACAUGCAGGAAGUGGUUUGGCAUUGUCUUGCUGACAUAAGCAAGGCCUUCCCUGAAAAAGACGUCAUCUGGAUGGCAGUAUAUGUGGCUCCAAAACCUGCAUAUAUCAUUAAUAUAGCAUUAAUGGUGCCUUCACAGAUGUGCAGAUCACCCAUGCCAUGUGCAGUAAUGCACCCAUAUACCAUCACAGAUGCUGGCUUUUGAACUGUGCGCUGAUAACAAACCAGAUGUUCCCGUUCUUCUUUAGUUCGUAGGAUGUGGUGACCAUGAUUUCCAAAACAAAUGUCAAAUGUUGAUUCGUUGGACCACAGAACACUUUCCUACUUCCCAAGUUCAUCUUAAAUGAGCUCUGGCCCAGAGAAAGUGGCAGCGUUUCUGGAUCAUUUUAUAUUUGGUUUCCUCUUUGCAUGAUAGAGUAUUAACUUGCAUUUAUGGAUGUGGUGACGAAUUGUGUUGAUAGACGGUGGUUUUCAGAACUGUUUCUGAGCCCAUGCAGUGAUUUCCACUACAGAACCAUAUCUAUUUUUAAUGCAGUGCUGCCUGAGGGCCCAAAGAUCACAGCCAGCCAAUAUUGUUUUUUGGCCUUUUCUCUUGCAUACAGAGAUUUCUCCAGAUUCUCCAGAACCGUUUAAUGUGAGUAUGUACUUCAGAUAAUGAAACACAAAUGUUCUUCGCUGUUUUAUGUUGAUCAUUGUUCUUCAACUGUUGCAGUAUUUGCCCAUGCAGUCCUUCACAGGGAGAGGGAAACCCCUCCCCAUCUUUACUUCUUUGUUGCUUGCAUCAAAUUCAAAAUAGUCAUAGCUAAAAAAAAACAAUAAAAUUCCCCACUUGAUAUUUUGCCUUUGUGCUAUUUUCAACGAAAUAUAGGAUUUAAAUGAAUGCAAAUCAUUGCAUUUUGUUUUUAUUUACAUUGUGCACAGCAUGGGAAAUGGGGUUGUCUGGAUACACUCUUACAACCCCAAUUCCAAUGAAGUUAAUAAAUAAAUAAAAACAGAAUACGAUGAUUUGCAAAUCCUUUUCAACCUAUAUUCAAUUGAAUACACUACAAAGACAAGAUAUAAAAAAUAAGGUUUUCUGCCUUGCUGCUUACUUGCAGAGAUUUCUCCAGAUUCUCUGAAUCUUUUGGUGAUAUUAUGGACUGUAGAUGAUGAAAUCCCUAAAUUCCUUGCAAUUGCACAUUGAAAAACGUUGUUCUUAAACUGUUGGACUAUUUGCUCAUGCAGUUGUUCACAAAGUGGUGAACCU
ensembl:lncRNA